rnacentral:rRNA from 1 species
CACGUAGGGCGCAAGCGUUGUCCGGAAUUAUUGGGCGUAAAGAGCUCGUAGGCGGUCUGUUGCGUCCGCUGUGAAAACUCGGGGCUUAACCCCGAGCCUGCAGUGGAUACGGGCAGACUAGAGGUAGGUAGGGGAGAAUGGAAUUCCCGGUGUAGCGGUGAAAUGCGCAGAUAUCGGGAGGAACACCGGUGGCGAAGGCGAGUCCCUGGACAACUCCUGACACUGAGGCACGAAAGCUAGGGGAGCAAACAGG